rnacentral:rRNA from 1 species
CCUACGGGUGGCAGCAGUGAGGAAUAUUGGUCAAUGGACGAGAGUCUGAACCAGCCAAGUAGCGUGCAGGAUGACUGCCCUAUGGGUUGUAAACUUCUUUUAUAUGGGAAUAAAAUGUUCCACGUGUGGGAUUUUGUAUGUACCAUAUGAAUAAGGAUCGGCUAACUCCGUGCCAGCAGCCGCGGUAAUACGGAGGAUCCGAGCUGUGUCCGGCUGUGUUGGGGUGAAAGGGAGCGUAGGUGGGUUGGUAAGGCAGUUGUGAAAGUUUGCGGCUCAACCGUAAAAUUGCAGUUGAAACUGGCAGUCUGGAGUACAGUAGAGGUGGGCGGAAUUCGUGGUGUAGCGGUGAAAUGCUUAGAUAGCACGAAGAACUCCGAUUGCGAAGGCAGUUCACUGGACUGCAACUGACACUGAGGCUCGAAAGUGUGGGUAUCAAACAGGAUUAGAUACCCUUGUAGUC